CACGCAGAUGGGUAUAAAUACAAAACCUUGAGUGUGAAAACCCUAGCAUCAUUUCUCUCCCUCACUCUCGGCCGCGUUCUCUCUCUCCCCGACCUCUCUCUUUCGUCCUCCCUCUCUGCCACCGCCGGAAACACAGCGUCCGACCACCAUCUCACAAAACCAUCACCACCAAUCAACUCAAUACCAAAAUCCGAACCAAACCCAAGAGGAAUCGAGGCCAUGCAUCAACCUCGACCUCUCGCUCUCUCUUCUUCUUCCUUCUGCAACCACCGGAGAACACCAUCUCCGGCCACCACCUUGCAACACCGCCUCCACCCUUCGAACCAGCACCUAAAUCCGAUUCUAGCCCAGCCAUUCCGCCAUCGAUCGAAAGCUCCUAACCAUCACAUGCAUGCCCGGAAAGCUGCGACGCCACUGUUCCUCGACCCUCACCGGUUUCCGGCGAUUCCCUCGCCCUUCCGCCACCGUCAUUCUACUCAACAAGCAAAGCAGAGCAAAACCCAGAGAGUCAUCUUCGCCGCCGACGCCUGAUGAGGCCGUUCGAACAUCGCCGGAGGCCUCAACUCUGCAUGCGUUCGAUCUCCGGUUUCCAGCUCAAAUUGAGCUCAACGACCUCCCUAAUCGGAAUCAGAGCCAUGUCAACCACCAAAACCCCAUAGUUUCGAUCUCUAGUUCCGACCAGAGACGCCACACGCACCGCCGCUGUCGCGUGGACCGCCGUAGCUCCACCACUCACGAUCACUGGAUCGUCUCUGAUAGGUAAUUUACGUCAUCCUAGACUGGGUUGAAACCUCUAUUCUGAUUUAGACUGAAAACCCUAAUUUCUAUUGUUCAAAUUGGAUUGUGUGAGGUUUGGAGAAUCUGCGUUUUGGGUUUAAAGAGGAGAGCCCGAAGCUGAGGCUUUGAUUGAAUCACCGUUGAAGGAGAAGGGAUUUGAAGGCUCUAAAGAAAUCGAGUUUCAUGUCGAAGGCUAUCGUAGCAGAGGAGUUAAUUUUGGAGAAGAAGAAUGGACUCGAGCGUGUGCACAUGAAAUUGGAAGAAGUAUCGAAAAUCUGAAACGAAGCUAAGUUUGGGCGAGCACUCCAAUUCCAGGUAGGGUGAGCUGUCCCUUCCUUGUUAGAGGCUUUUCUAUAUGUGGAAUGCUCUAGUAUAUUAAUAUGUUGCCUGCAAGUACGUUUUUGGUUGUUCAUUGGUCGAUGUCUCGUUAUAUCCGUGUUUCCAUAACUGAUAAUUGCUUAUUGUGAAAACCGAGGCUAGACUUGCAUGUUGAGAUACUGUACCCACUGUAUGUUUGUACUUGUGACCUGAAAGUGAAUUGGACCUAGACGCGUAGAUUCCUAGGGAUCCCACGGUGUCGAUAACCGUGAACCUCCGGAGGGGGCCGUGCUCCUAUGUUUGUCGAGAAAAAGUGAGUAUAGACAGUGAACCAGUCAUAGGAAACUCAGGGCCAGGAAAUAGACACUUUCACUACUUGUAGUCGGAAGUACUACAGAGUAGUUGGCUGGUUCUCGAAUUCAGGACGAACCAGGUCGGUCACCGAUUUGUUUUAUUUUAGCCGGCAGGUAAGUAUCUCGGAGCUCCAAGUGUGUGAAGCAUACUGCAUAUGUUUUAUGAAAGAAAACAAAUGUUUGUGGUUACCACUUUUCUUAAAGCAUUUUUCGAUAAACGUGCACAAUAUUAUGUAGUAAAUAUUUUCAAGCAUAUUAUUUUUCAAACCUAGCAUGGUUGGGUCGGCCCCUAUUGGGCAUGCGAGGACGAAAGCUCACCCCUACUAUAGUGUGCAGGUUUCGAGCAUGUGGUCAGGAAGCGUACAGGGGAGGCACAUGGCUCGGCUUGGCGCAUUUCUCUUUAGUUUUAUCAAAAGGAAGGUUUUGGUCCCUUAUCGGAUUUUGAAGUAACUUAGUUAUUUAUUUUCUUACUAAUUUAUUUGUUUAUUUGUUUUCUAUUCGCUCAUCUACAAAAUUUCAAGAGACCCGUAACCCUGG